rnacentral:rRNA from 1 species
UACGAAGGGUGCAAACGUUGCUCGGAAUCAUUGGGCGUAAAGCGCACGUAGGCGGCCUCAUAAGUCGGAUGUGAAAUCCCUCGGCUCAACCGAGGACGUGCAUUCGAAACUGCGAGGCUCGAGUAUGGAAGAGGGUCGCAGAAUUCCCGGUGUAGAGGUGAAAUUCGUAGAUAUCGGGAGGAAUACCAGUGGCGAAAGCGACUUCCUGGACCAAUACUGACGCUCAUGUGCGAAAGCGUGGGAGCAAACAGG